UGGGGAAUAUUGCACAAUGGGCGCAAGCCUGAUGCAGCCAUGCCGCGUGUAUGAAGAAGGCCUUCGGGUUGUAAAGUACUUUCAGCGGGGAGGAAGGUGUUGAGGUUAAUAACCUCAGCAAUUGACGUUACCCGCAGAAGAAGCACCGGCUAACUCCGUGCCAGCAGCCGCGGUAAUACGGAGGGGGCAAGCGGUAAUCGGAAUUACUGGGCGUAAAGCGCACGCAGGCGGUCUGUCAAGUCGGAUGUGAAAUCCCCGGGCUCAACCUGGGAACUGCAUUCGAAACUGGCAGGCUAGAGUCUUGUAGAGGGGGGUAGAAUUCCAGGUGUAGCGGUGAAAUGCGUAGAGAUCUGGAGGAAUACCGGUGGCGAAGGCGGCCCCCUGGACAAAGACUGACGCUCAGGUGCGAAAGCGUGGGGAGCAAACA
rnacentral:rRNA from 1 species